GGGGAUAAACCCGGGAAACUGGGUAUAAUACCCGAUAGAUCUCGACUGCUGGAAUGCAUCGAGAUCGAAAGCUCCGGCGCCUAAGGAUGGGUCUGCGGCCUAUCAGGUAGUAGUGGGUGUAGCGUACCUACUAGCCUACGACGGGUACGGGUUGUGAGAGCAAGAGCCCGGAGAUGGAUUCUGAGACACGAAUCCAGGCCCUACGGGGUGCAGCAGGCGCGAAAACUUUACAAUGCUGGAAACAGCGAUAAGGGGACCCCGAGUGCCAGGUUACAAAUCUGGCUGUCGUGAUGCCUAAAAAGCAUUGCAUAGCAAAGGGCCGGGCAAGACCGGUGCCAGCCGCCGCGGUAACACCGGCGGCUCGAGUGGUAACCGUUAUUAUUGGGUCUAAAGGGUCUGUAACCGGCCGGAUAAGUCUCUUGGGAAAUCCAGCAGCUCAACUGUUGGGCUUUCAGGAGAUACUGUCUGGCUCGAGGCCGGGAGAGGUGAGAGGUACUUCAGGGGUAGGGGUGAAAUCUUGUAAUCCUUGAAGGACCACCAGUGGCGAAGGCGUCUCACCAGAACGGACCUGACGGCAAGGGACGAAAGCUAGGGGCACGAACCGGAUUAGAUACCCGGGUAGUCCUAGCCGUAAACGAUACUCGCUAGGUGUCGGCCACGGUGCGACCGUUGUCGGUGCCGUAGGGAAGCCGUGAAGCGAGCCACCUGGAGGUACCG
rnacentral:rRNA from 1 species